rnacentral:rRNA from 1 species
AUACGUAGGUGGCAAGCGUUGUCCGGAAUUAUUGGGCGUAAAGCGCGCGCAGGCGGUUCCUUAAGUCUGAUGUGAAAGCCCCCGGCCCAACCGGGGAGGGUCAUUGGAAACUGGGGAACUUGAGUGCAGAAGAGGAUAGUGGAAUUCCAAGUGUAGCGGUGAAAUGCGUAGAGAUUUGGAGGAACACCAGUGGCGAAGGCGACUGUCUGGUCUGUAACUGACACUGAGGCGCGAUAGCUUGGGGAGCAAACAGGAUUAGAUACCCUGGUAGUCCACGCCGUAAACGAUGAGUGCUAAGUGUUGGGGGGUUUCCGCCCCUCAGUGCUGCAGCUAACGCAUUAAGCACUCCGCCUGGGGAGUACGGUCGCAAGACUGAAACUCAAAUGAAUUGGCGGGG